rnacentral:rRNA from 1 species
GAUGAACGCUGGCGGCGUGCCUAAUACAUGCAAGUCGAGCGAACAGACGAGGAGCUUGCUCCUCUGACGUUAGCGGCGGACGGGUGAGUAACACGUGGAUAACCUACCUAUAAGACUGGGAUAACUUCGGGAAACCGGAGCUAAUACCGGAUAAUAUAUUGAACCGCAUGGUUCAAUAGUGAAAGACGGUUUUGCUGUCACUUAUAGAUGGAUCCGCGCCGCAUUAGCUAGUUGGUAAGGUAACGGCUUACCAAGGCAACGAUGCGUAGCCGACCUGAGAGGGUGAUAGGCCACAAUGGAACUGAGACACGGUCCAGACUCCUACGGGAGGCAGCAGUAGGGAAUCUUCCGCAAUGGGCGAAAGCCUGACGGAGCAACGCCGCGUGAGUGAUGAAGGUCUUCGGAUCGUAAAACUCUGUUAUUAGGGAAGAACAAAUGUGUAAGUAACUAUGCACGUCUUGACGGUACCUAAUCAGAAAGCCACGGCUAACUACGUG